rnacentral:rRNA from 1 species
UAUGGUCAAGUGAAGAAGCGCAUACGGUGGAUGCCUUGGCAGUCAGAGGCGAUGAAAGACGUGGUAGCCUGCGAAAAGCUUCGGGGAGUCGGCAAACAGACUGUGAUCCGGAGAUGUCUGAAUGGGGGAACCCAGCCAUC